CAGAAUUCUUUUUUUCUCCACACUAGAUGGCAGUAGAGUUAAAGAGAAAAAAAAAAAAAGUCCAAAGCGGCUUUGGUGUGCUGGGAUGAGCAGGGAGGCAAUGCUCCCUGUGUCAGAUGGAGCCCCACGCGAUCCAGCGGCGACAGUGACAAUCCAGCGUGUCACAUGCCUCUUUCGGUAAAAUGUAUUUGGGGAUCUCUUUCUAUCUCCAUGUCGUGUCUUCACAGGGUGGGUUCACGAAGCAGCUUUUCAUCUGUUCGUGUCAUUUCUCCAAUGGAUGUCUCCUUUACUUCCUUUUAAAAAUACACUUAUUUACAACCUACUACAGUUGAUUCUUAUUAGUCACAGUCAUCAUGUUCUACAAAGUCACCACAAAGAAUGAACUAGCAGUACCAAACCAUUGCUUCUAGGGGAAAAUACAGGGUCAGGCUCCUACCAGUCUUUGGGCACAAUGUUUUUGUAAACC
rnacentral:lncRNA from 1 species